AAACAGUAAUUUGCCUCUGAUCUCUGAUUUGACAUGGGGCAGUUAACUUUAAGAAUUCAUUUGAUUCUAGUGCCUACCAGCAUAGAGAUUCUAGUGCCUACCAGCAUAGAGAAAAUUAUUAGAAAACAAGCUAAAAUCUGUAUAAAUCUUGCAUAAAGACAAUUGUUUGAAAAAUACGAUACUCAGAUAUAUGCGAUCAAAAGUCUUGAAAUUGUUGUAAAUAGAUCCACAAGAAUAGUGAAAAAGUCACAAAUCAUUAUAAAGUUUUUAAAGGGACAAUCCAC